rnacentral:rRNA from 1 species
AGAGUUUGAUCCUGGCUCAGAGCGAACGCUAGCGGCAAGCUUAACACAUGCAAGUCGAGCGCGAACGAACCUUCGGGUUCAAGUAGAGCGGCGAACGGGUGAGUAACACGUAGAUUAUCUACCUUUUGGUGGGGAACAACCCUGGGAAACUAGGGCUAAUACCGCAUGUGGCCUACGGGUCAAAGCCUUCGGGCGCCAGAAGAUGAGUCUGCGGCCCAUUAUUUAAUCCUUGUUGGUGGGGUAAUGGCCUACCAAGGGUACGAUGGGUAGCUGUUUUGAGAGGAAGAUCAGCCACACUGGGACUGAGACACGGCCCAGACUCCUACGGGAGGCAGCAGUGGGGAAUAUUGCGCAAUGGGCGAAAGCCUGACGCAGCUAUGCCGCGUGUGUGAUGAAGGCCUUAGGGUUGUAAAGCACCGUCGGGGGGGAAGAAGAUCUGACGGUACCCCCCAAGAAAGCACCGGCCAACUCCGUGCCAGCAGCCGCGGUAAUACGGAGGGUGCAAGCGUUGCUCGGAAUCACUGGGCGUAAAGCGAACGCAGGCGGACCGUUAAGUUGGGUGUGAAAGCCCAGGGGCUCAACCCUGGAACUGCAUUCAAAACUGGCGGUCUUGAGUACGGGAGAGGGAAGUGGAAUUCCUGGUGUAGAGGUGAAAUUCGUAGAUCUCAGGAGGAACACCCGUGGCGAAAGCGGCUU